AGAAUCUCUUUGUCAUGUAAAGGAAAUCUUCUUAUUUCUUGUUUGGUAAGAAUUUUUAUCAUAAUGUGCUGAACCUGCAAUUUCUCCAAAUGUGGGAAACUCGACAUAAUUUGUGGUAGUGGGAGACUGCAUUGGCGCUUUCCCCUG
rnacentral:snRNA from 1 species